CUCCACUGAGAGUCAUUCUCUGCACUUGGACCAGUGGACUCUGCUCACAAAGGAAUUUUGGCUUUCUAGAAUAGAGGGACGAUUCUGGGUCCCCACAUGGCAGGCUGUCUUUGGACACAGCAUGAGGUCGCCUUCCAAAAGGGAGACAUCCAAGUCCUGAGUAGCAUUGAAGUUCCGUUCCACCUGGAAGAGCUUUUCAGAACAUGUAUUUACACACUGCCUUAAGACAGCUUUCAGUCCUCUUCAUGAAGACAGAGAAUAGCAUCCACAAACACUCCCCAAGUGGUCACGUGACCAGGCCACAUGACUCUCUUGCUCUAUACUCUCCAGGAACAUCUGCACAAGGAUGAAGAAAUCCUUCCACAGCAGUGGUUUCUAACCUUAUGUACAACAUAAAAAUGUAAGGGUACAAAUACAAUUUACUACACUACUUGAAAUAUCUGUGAUUAAAAAGCCUCAACCUGUAA